UGAGAAGCACCGAACAGGCCCAUGACAGCAGCGGGACCAAAUGACCUAGCGGGAUUCAUAGAGCAGCCAUCGAAAUAGAUCUGUGAAAUCAAACAGAAAGUUUGCUUUUUGUGACUCCUGAAAGCGAGACAAUGGGGACCUAUUGAAUGUCCCUGCGGUCGUUAGAUAACCAAGGUAUUGCAUAACGAUACAGAAAAUGGCACCUUGUCUAUUUACUCUGCCUUAAAGGGACCCCAAGUGACUUCCAACAUCAUUCCCCCUUCCCUCAUUUUAUCUUCAUAACAACAAUCCUGCGAGAUCCCCUGGCCUUUUGAUCAAGGUCUAUUGUAUCCAUGCCUGAGGCGCAAGGAAAGAAGGGGACCGGAUGGUGGCUGGCUUCCUUGGUGCUUGUAACAGUUGUCAGUACAGGUGAAUAAAGACUCUGGAACAUGUGAUAUCUUAUUUAGCAGGUACUGCGUGAAGUGGACCAUAGAAUUAUUCAGCUGGAAGAAACAAAACUCCAUCUAGCGCACCAUGCUGCUGUGACGUAACUGGUUCAGCAUGAGCCAGCUACAUUCUCGACAUGUUAUUUACACUUCUCAGAGUGUUUUUGCACCGAUACAGUCUUAUUGACCACCGUGUACAAUCCAGAGAUCAGGCAUGCAGGAUAAAGCAGCGUGCGCAGCACAUACUUAAGCAAUUAGUCGUGCAUGCAAAUCAGCUCACGUGCUGUAAGCAACAAACAAUAUUCCAAGAAUCAGUUGGUGAAAUAAAGUGGCUAGUCCAAUAAUAACUGAGUGGGAACUUGAACUCGCGUCUCACAGUGUUUAUUCCAAUAUUCUAACAAUUACAAUCACACCACUGGGUCUCUAUUUGUUAUUAUAAUAAUAAGCAGGAGUCAUUUCAUAGAAAAAGAGCUGGAGGAACUCAUUAGUAUAACUCAUUAGCAUAUGCCACACCCCUUGACAUCCCCGGAAGUGUAUUAUUAGCAUAACUGAUCUGCAUAUGCCACACCCUCUGACAUCACCUAUCCUGGGUGUUUUGGACCCAAUCCUGGCCAUUCAGGGCCGAAAUUGGGCCCAAAAUGGCAAA